UACGGAGGAUGCGAGCGUUAUCCGGAUUUAUUGGGUUUAAAGGGUGCGUAGGCGGCUUUGUAAGUCAGCGGUGAAAUUUUGCAGCUUAACUGUAAAAGCGCCGUUGAUACUGUGAAGCUAGGAUUUGGUUGCUGUGGGCGGAAUGUGUGGUGUAGCGGUGAAAUGCAUAGAGAUCACACAGAAUAUCGAUUGCGAAGGCAGCUCACAAAGCCAAUAUUGACGCUGAGGCACGAAAGUGUGGGGAUCAAACAGG
rnacentral:rRNA from 2 species